UACAGAGGUCCCAAGCGUUGUCCGGAUUUAUUGGGCGUAAAGCGCGUGUAGGCGGUCCGGUAAGUCCGCUGUGAAAGUCGGGGGCUCAACCCUCGAAUGCCGGUGGAUACUGUCGGGCUAGAGUGCGGAAGAGGCGAGUGGAAUUCCUGGUGUAGCGGUGAAAUGCGCAGAUAUCAGGAGGAACACCUAUUGCGAAGGCAGCUCGCUGGGACGGUACUGACGCUGAGGCGCGAAAGCGUGGGGAGCGAACAGG
rnacentral:rRNA from 1 species